rnacentral:rRNA from 1 species
GACAGAGGGUGCAAACGUUGUUCGGAAUUACUGGGCGUAAAGCGCGUGUUGGCGGCUAUGCAAGUCGGAUGUGAAAGCCCUCGGCUCAACCGGGGAAGUGCACCCGAAACUGCAAAGCUAGAGUCUCGGAGAGGAUCGUGGAAUUCUCGGUGUAGAGGUGAAAUGCGUUGAGAUCGGAAGGAACGCCCGUGGCGAAAGCGAGCCCCUGGACGUCAUCUGACGCUGAGACGCGAAAGCCAGGGGAGCGAACGGG